rnacentral:misc_RNA from 1 species
AUACCAAUCUAGCCUGGCUAGGUGUUGGGUUUCGCCGUCUGGCGGGCCUUAAAACUAGUGGCGGUGCUCUGAAGCUCUACGCGUAGUAAUUUUCUCGCUAUAGGGUCUUGGGAGAUGCUUGCCAGCAACCCCAAAUUUUUUA